AUUUUGCAGACGAGCUGGUCAUCGGAACGACUGACGAGCACUGACAGUACUGCAUGACUACGCAUAAAAAGGCUAAGUAUGGAUGAAGAAAAUAACCAAAGAAGUAGGAGGAAGAAAAAAGAAAAACACCACCACCAUAGGAGUCACAAGCACAGCCAGCACAGAUCAAGGUCCCCACUUGCAAGCCAUAAAAUACAGCUGUAGAAAC